CAGAACUUGAGGUGUUCUCUAGAAGUGGGACUUCUGAAUUGCUUUGGGCUGCUUUUUCAUGUCAGUGCAAACUUAACAGGGGCAACAGAAAACCAAGUACCACACAGGACUCAAACCUGGGGCACAGCCAACAGCAGCAACAGGAGUUGGAGUCAAGCAGUGCUUCAUACAUCCCAAUUCCUCCAUUGCCCUGUCAUAGCAACCUAUAGAGCACCCUUGAAAGACGUGGAAAUUAGGACCUUUCCUGAUGAACACAUGCCUGAAGGUUAUUUAUCUAGUCAUUUUACACUGCUGUAUGCAAGCUAGUCAAGAAGAGGGUAGAUGUGGCACUGAAGGACAUGGUUGAUGGUAUGGUGGUGAUGGUGGAUGGUUGGACUAGAUGA
rnacentral:lncRNA from 1 species